rnacentral:rRNA from 1 species
GACGAACGCUGGCGGCGUGCUUAACACAUGCAAGUCGAACGGAAAGGCCCUGCCUUUGUGGGGUUCUCGAGUGGCGAACGGGUGAGUAACACGUGAGUAACCUGCCCUUGACUUUGGGAUAACUUCAGGAAACUGGGGCUAAUACCCGAUAGGAGCUCCUGCGGCAUGGUGGGGGUUGGAAAGCUUAGGCGGUUGGGGUUGGACUUGCGGCUUAUCAGCUUGUUGGUGGGGUAGUGGUUUACCAAGGCUUUGACGGAUAGCCGGCCUGAGAGGGUGACCGGCCACAUUGGGACUGAGAUACGGCCCAGACGCCUACGGGAGGCAGCAGUGGGGAAUAUUGCACAAUGGGCGGAAGCCUGAUGCAGCAACGCCGCGUGCGGGAUGACGGCCUUCGGGUUGUGAACCGCUUUCGCCUGUGACGAAGCGUGAGUGACGGUAAUGGGUAAAGAAGCACCGGCUAACUACGUG